rnacentral:rRNA from 1 species
UACGGAGGAUGCAAGCGUUAUCCGGAAUGAUUGGGCGUAAAGCGUCCGCAGGUGGCUAUGUAAGUCUGCUGUUAAAGAGUGAGGCUCAACCUCAUAAGAGCAGUGGAAACUACAUGGCUAGAGUGCGCUCGGGGCAGAGGGAAUUCCUGGUGUAGCGGUGAAAUGCGUAGAUAUCAGGAAGAACACCGGUGGCGAAGGCGGCUUCUUGGGCCGUUUCUGACGCUGAGGCGCGAAAGCCAGGGGAGCGAACGGG